rnacentral:rRNA from 1 species
GACGAACGCUGGCGGCGUGCUUAACACAUGCAAGUCGAACGGAAAGGCCCUGCUUUUGUGGGGUGCUCGAGUGGCGAACGGGUGAGUAACACGUGAGUAACCUGCCCUUGACUUUGGGAUAACUUCAGGAAACUGGGGCUAAUACCGGAUAGGAGCUCCUGCUUCAUGGUGGGGGUUGGAAAGUUUCGGCGGUUGGGGAUGGACUCGCGGCUUAUGAGCUUGUUGGUGGGGUAGUGGCUUACCAAGGCUUUGACGGGUAGCCGGCCUGAGAGGGUGACCGGCCACAUUGGGACUGAGAUACGGCCCAGACUCCUACGGGAGGCAGCAGUGGGGAAUAUUGCACAAUGGGAGGAAGCCUGAUGCAGCAACGCCGCGUGCGGGAUGACGGCCUUCGGGUUGUAAACCGCUUUCGCCUGUGACGAAGCGUGAGUGACGGUAAUGGGUAAAGAAGCACCGGCUAACUACGUG